rnacentral:lncRNA from 7 species
AUAUUUAGCACUUCCCCGAGCCCUUCGCAUGCUCCAGCCCCGGUGCGGAGCGCUCGCUUAAUUAAUUGACGCAGCUCUCGCCCCGCGGUGCCACAUGACGGGGGCGGUGGGCGGCCGAGGGCACGGCCCUACAGGUUUUCAAUGACCAUUCUGUUACUGUAACCACCAUGGAUGCGAACGCUGUGGUGAUAAAGGCUUGCUAUUUUCUCCUACUGGAUUCCUCAAAUCCAAGAGCUACUCAGCAGUUUCCAAGGCAACCACCUGUGGAAUAAUUAAAAAGGAUGAAGUGUUAGUGUGCCAGAUGAACGGAAUUCUUGCCUGGAGAGAGCACUUCAUUUUCAGCUGUUCUGAAGAAUCAAAUGUGAUUCUGCCAGCACAGUUCAGGUGCUGAUCUUCUGAGAGUGACUUCCCUAUGCCAAAGAAAGAACGUGUUUUUGAUGGAAGACCUACUUACAAAUGAGUACAAAUGGAAAGUGUCACUCCUUACGGGAGGGGUCAGGAGUACUUCAAUCUUCAGCUAGAAGAUCCUCUGCAGCCUGUUUAUCAGAUUGAGGACAACCCUUUCUUGUUCAUAAUGGAUUGUUCAGAAAAAAAGACAAUUGGAUGUGGUAGAAGCAGUUUUUUUCCUAAGCAUGGCCCAAGGACAGCUGCAUCAGUACAACUGGAGGUGACAUGAACUGCAGCAUCAGAGGCACAGCAAGCACUGGAGGGUGUCCCAAUGUUAAGUGGUCUUGCUGUCAGCAAAAACCUGCUCUGGUACUGUAUCCCAGUUGGAGGGGUUUCACUAGCUAUAGAUAUAUUUAUUGAACUGUUCAUUUGUUUGUUUGUUUGUUUUAAAGAUUAAUAUCUUGGGUUUUUUUUGUUGUUUGGAUUUUUAUUUUUUUGCUUGAGAUAAACCAUCUAUCUGAGAAAUAAGUCAGCUUUGUGGACAGCCAGUGGAUGUCAAUAAAGUCUUGGCAAACACAAUAGGUAUUUAUUCAGCCUUGCAAAUUAGAAACAUUUCUCCUGCUUGUUUUAUGAAGGGAACAAAAAAACACAAAUUACAUAGCGGAUGAGCUCUCUUGAUAGUUGGAAUUCGUUAGUCUGGUGGUGAAAACACUGGGGGAUUUAUGGUGCAGAAAAAUAAAAUAAAAGAUGAAACAGCUUU